AGCAGCCGCGGUAAUUCCAGCUCCAAUAGCGUAUAUUAAAGUUGUUGCAGUUAAAAAGCUCGUAGUUGAAUUUCGGGAUCAAUUGAUCGGUCGUGCCUCUGGUACGCACUGGCAUUGUUGGUUUCUACCUUCUGACGAACCAUGAUGUCAUUUAUUUGGUGUCGUGGGGAAUCAGGACUGUUACUUUGAAAAAAUUGAGUGUUUAAAGCAGGCUCACGCUUGAAUACAUUAGCAUGGAAUAAUGAAAUAGGACGUUUGAUUCUAUUUUGUUGGUUUCUAGGAUCGACGUAAUGAUUAAUAGGGAUAGUUGGGGGCAUUAGUAUUCAAUUGUCAGAGGUGAAAUUCUUGGAUUUAUUGAAGACUAACUACUGCGAAAGCAUUG
rnacentral:rRNA from 1 species